rnacentral:rRNA from 1 species
UACGUAGGGGGCAAGCGUUGUCCGGAAUUAUUGGGCGUAAAGAGCUUGUAGGCGGUCUGUCGCGUCUGCUGUGAAAAUCCGGGGCUCAACCCCGGACUUGCAGUGGGUACGGGCAGACUAGAGUGUGGUAGGGGAGACUGGAAUUCCUGGUGUAGCGGUGAAAUGCGCAGAUAUCAGGAGGAACACCGAUGGCGAAGGCAGGUCUCUGGGCCGAUACUGACGCUGAGGAGCGAAAGCGUGGGGAGCGAACAGG